CUCGUAGGCGGCUCGGUAAGUUGGGUGUGAAAACUCCAGGCUCAACCUGGAGAGGCCACUCAAUACUGCCGUGGCUAGAGUUCGGUAGAGGAUCGUGGAAUUUCUGGUGUAGCGGUGAAAUGCGCAGAUAUCAGAAGGAACACCAACGGCGAAGGCAGCGAUCUGGGCCGAUACUGACGCUGAGGAGCGAAAGCGUGGGGAGCGAACA
rnacentral:rRNA from 1 species